GCAUAUCAAUAAGCGGAGGAAAAGAAACUAACAAGGAUUCCCUUAGUAACGGCGAGUGGAGAGGGAAGAGCUCAAAUUUUAAAUCUAUCAUGUUGUACAUGAUCGAGUUGUAAUUUGAAGAAGCGUUUUCUCGUACUUUAUGAUCAGUAUAAGUUCUCUUGGAACAGGACAUCAUAGAGGGUGAUAAUCCCGUCUGUUACUGAUUGUGAGGUUCGUUUAUGAUACGCUUUCAAAGAGUCGAGUUGUUUGGGAUUGCAGCUCCAAAUGGGUGGUAAACAUCACCUAAGGCUAAAUAUUUGCGAGAGACCGAUAGCGAACAAGUACCGUGAGGGAAAGAUGAAAAGAACUUUGAAAAGAGAGUUAAAAAGUAUGUGAAAUUGUUGAAAGGGAAACGAUUGAAGUCAGUCGUGCAGUCAUCAAUUCAGCGGUUAACAUUUUAUGUUUCCGUGUAAUUUGGUGUCUGUUGGUUAGCAUCAAUUUUGAUUGUUAUAAAAAGGUUAAGGGGAUGUGGCUCCUUCGGGAGUGUUAUAACCCUUAGCGUAAUGUGACGAUUAGGAUUGAGGUUUGCAACGAAUACCUUUUAGGGCAGUUUCACCUGGCCUCUCGUGGAAUUAUAGAUAGUUAAGAGCAUGCUCUUACUGUCUAUGAUUCUACGAAAAGGUUGGAGUGUAAAACUAAUUCGUUAAGGAUGUUGACGUA
rnacentral:rRNA from 1 species